UAAAGGCUUGGUCCUGACUUUACUAUCAGCUUUAACAUAACUUACACAUGCAAGUCUCCGCACCCCCGUGAGGAUGCCCUUAAUCCCCUGCCCGGGGACGAGGAGCAGGCAUCAGGCACAACCUUUAGCCCAAGACGCCUUGCCAUACCACACCCCCAAGGGAAUUCAGCAGUGAUAGACAUUAAGCCAUAAGCAAAAGCUUGACUUAGUCAAUGUUAAAAGGGCCGGUAAAACUCGUGCCAGCCACCGCGGUUAUACGAGAGACCCUAGUUGAAAGAUGCGGCGUAAAGGGUGGUUAAGGAAAGCAAAAAUAAAGCCAAAGGGCCUCUCGGCCGUCAUACGCUUCUGAGCGUCCGAAGUUCAAACACGAAAGUAGCUUUAAUAUCAGCCCACCUGACCCCACGAAAGCUGAGAAACAAACUGGGAUUAGAUACCCCACUAUGCUCAGCCAUAAACCCAGGCAUUAAAUUACAACAAACGCCCGCCAGGGUACUACGAGCGUUAGCUUAAAACCCAAAGGACUUGGCGGUGCCUUAGACCCCCCUAGAGGAGCCUGUUCUAGAACCGAUAACCCCCGUUAAACCUCACCAUCCCUAGUCAUCCCCGCCUAUAUACCGCCGUCGUCAGCUUACCCUGUGAAGGACAAACAGUAAGCAGAGCGAGUACAGCCCAAAACGUCAGGUCGAGGUGUAGCGCAUGAGAUGGGAAGAAAUGGGCUACAUUUUCUGCCACAGAACAACACGAACAGCGUUAUGAAAAUUUUUAACGCCUAAAGGAGGAUUUAGUAGUAAAUAGGAAAUAGAGUGUCCUAUUGAACCCGGCUCUGAGGCGCGUACACACCGCCCGUCACUCUCCCCUGUCAAAUAGCAAUAAAAGUAUUUAACACCCACGCACAGACAAGGGGAGGCAAGUCGUAACAUGGUAAGUGUACCGGAAGGUGCACUUGGAUCAAACA
rnacentral:ncRNA from 1 species